AGAAUCAGCUUACAAAGACGACCCUGUUGAGCAUGACUCUAGUCUGUGACAGUGAAGAUACUGAGAAGUGUAGAAUAAGUGAGAGGCUCCCAGUGCCACUCACCUCCUUCUCACCUCUCCUGCACACCAUGGGGAGGCAGGGCUGGGUCUAGCACACCUGUCAAAAGCAUAGCACAAGUAUCCUAAGUCAAGCUGAGUAAACUCCAGUGAAACAGAAAGGAAAAAAAAAUCACUUUAUCUAGAUAUUCAGUAGAAAUACAGACCCUGAAAGCAGGGCCUCCCAACCUUCUAAUCUUUUUAGUUUCAAGCAGGAGGUGUCAGAAAAGUUACCAUACUGGCUUUGGGCGGCCAAGCAUUCAGAAAUCUCACUUUUUGGUCCUUGAUGUCACUUUCUGCUAUUCCUGUGAAGGAGAAUUCACCUAUCAUUGGAUGGUUCACUCACUAACAGAGCUGGGUUUAGAUCUUCACUCAACAUGAGCUGGGUUUAGACCUUCAUGAGACAGGUUGGUUUUACUCUAAUGAUGUUGGGUUGUUUCCUAUUAAUCCUGCUCAAUACAAGAGGAACUGUAGUUCAGACAACUGGUGCAUAAGCUUGCCUGAGGAGCAACUAAAUCAAAGCUAAGAUCGGUUUAGUUGUGACUGAACGCUUCUAAGAAUCCCAUCUAGGCAGGACAACACAGCAGCACACUGGCAUUUCAGAAUGGGUCAAAAAUUAAGACCCAACUAUACGUUGUCUAAAAGAAAUUCAAAUUAAAUAUAAAACACAUACAGAUUAAAAGUAAAUAGUUGGAGAAUACAAAACACUAACUGGAAAACAUAUAUGCACUCCCAUGU
rnacentral:ncRNA from 1 species